ACUUCAUCUCUCUAAAAUCCCUAAACCUAGACUAGCUCGCCGUUGCCCCAAAUUCAGCUACAAAAUAAUUGCUACCGGUUCAAUCAAGCUUAAUCUUCAAAGACUGGCUCGCCACUCUCCCAAAUUAAUUUCUCAGCCUUAGAUAUCCCACGAGAAAAAUCUUUCACCUAAAUAAUUAUUUCCCCUAAAUGGGUUUCUUCUUUAUGCAAUCUGAAAGAAGUUCUUCUUCUCCAUAUCUUAGGUUUUCAGUUUUCUCUUUAGGGUUGCUAGAUUAUGUCAUUUUCCGUCAACCAUCUCAUUAAAAUUUACUCUAACAGGGUUGCUGAAAAUUUGCAAAGUUAUGGUGUCUUCGAUCUUUUGUGAUGUGUUGAGUGAACAAGAGAUGAAUCAUAUCCCAUUUUACUCUCGAAAGAGAUUAAAGUCAUUGAGGAUGCAAAUUGCUGAUGUAGCAUCUACAAUAGAGUUAACUAUCGGGUAUCGUAUAUUUGCAAUGAAGUUUGUAUUAGCAGAUAUGUGCAGGUGGUGCACUUUGCUUGAUUUUAAACUAAUAUGCUUUAAAGGAAAAGGGAAAAUCUGAAUUGGAGGGUAAGCUUUGGAGCUUUAUCCCUAUUUAAACUGCUUUCAGUUAGUAUAUAUCUCGCUGAGUGUAUUUCCGUCUUUUUUCCUAGGAAAGGUAAAACCACAUCUGUCCAAUUUAUUUUUCUUACUGAUUUUGGGCGAGUACCUUCUUUGAUUCAUAUGUUUUGGCUCGUAAUUGAUGUUUUCCUCUGAAAGAUAUCCUUAUUUUCUUCUCUGUUUGGUGAUGUAAAGUUGGAUGGUUAUUUCGAACCCUUCAGUGCAUUGACGUUAAUAGAAGACUGUUUUAGCCUCAAAAUUGCUUUGCAAGUUAGUUUAAGCAUUUGUUACCCUUACAUCAAGGGCUCGAAUCUCUAAAAUAGAGUGGCCGAUGAAAAUUAGUAAGCCACAAAUGAACUAAUCUUCUUUUGUCUAUUACUGUAUUUGUUUGCUAUUUCAGUCUUUUAUUUAGAACAUUCUCUUUCAUGGAAUUUUAUAAUAUUCACAAAAUUAUUCAUCUCUUUGCACUGAAACUAAAGUUUCACAGAUUAGAUAUGUUCUUUUGUUCAUUUUAACUGAUUGUGUAUGUUCUGUUCAUUUUUUCUUUUUAGCAAAUAGCUCCGCGUAUCAGUUUAUUGGUAUUUUCAUCUCCUUGGUUUAAAAUCUAGUUCACUUUGUGGAAUCUCAAGCAAGUUUUUGACAGGAGAAAUUGGGUUUCAGAUAAUGUGCUUUCAGCUCCAAUAUGUUAUGCUCCAUUAAGGUAACCGCAUAGUUCAAGAGUUGUUUUAUUGAUCUAUUUAUUUUGGUUUAACAGGUAACUCUAGAUGUAUUUUGUCUUUUCUAAAUUUGACGUCGGGUUCUGAGUUCAGGAUGUGAGAAUGGGGUUAAUAAGCAACGAAACAUUAGGGUCUGAUUCAAAAUAUAUAUGCAAAAGAAUAUUAUAUAAUAAAACUGAUAUCAUAUUGAUCUUGUAAGUGAAGACGCUACUCAUCUCUGCUUUCUAUACCUUUUUUUGCUUUAACAGUUUUCUUUUACUAGCAUGCGAGUGUACAUGAUUUUUAUUCUUUGAUAAUUUAUUAUCUAUAUUCUGUUCUGAUUUACAGAAUUUCCUCAUUAGAGUUAUUGAAAAUCCUUAAGGAAGAGGUCUUUGAAAGAAACUGUCAUUUUAAUAGUUUCAUGGGCUUCAUCCUCGAAAUGUACAACAUGAUUUAACUCCCAAUGUCAUGUCUUUCAUCCCUAAAUGAUUUAGCGGGUUUUUGAAUUGGUCUAAUGAGGAGGUGUUACCAGAUCUUUUUUGGCCUUCUGGUGGUGUUGAGUGUGUGUACUGUAUAGGUUUGACUCCUUGUGUUGCCUUUUCUUUCAAUAAAUAUUUACUUGUCAAUAACGUAUAAAUUGUAGCCUAUUACAAAUAUGUACCCAUGAGUUCAUCAAGUUAAUUGUAUUUAAUUUGGAUUUUUAUUACUUUAGUAUACAAUUGAUGAUUCCUUUGCAUAAAUCUUUUUGGUAGGAGGUCAGUAUGAAAUUGGUGGUUGGGAAGGCAAGGAGUAAACCAAUAUUGGGGUUGCACAGUUUCUAGCUUGUCUCACCAUGAGAGUCAUGAGGUAUUCUAUAAUCCUAUGGUUUGCAAUUUUAUUACUCAGUAGUGAUUAUGUUAGUACUCUAAGGCUGCUGAUGGUAAAAAUUUCUCCUUCGAUGCUGAAAUUUAUAAAGGCUAUUUGGAAAAAAAAUUAAAUUUUUAGAAAACCAAUCUGCCCUGUACAGCAUUAGGUUUUGUUAUCGUAUGAUGGAAGUUUGAGAUCUCUGCAAAGUCAGUUUUCGGGAUAAGAUGUUGGAGGUUGGGUGACCUCUACAGCUAUUGUUUUAUGCUAACAUCAUCUUUGAUUAUUGCUGCCUGUAGUUGUAAAUUGGCUUCUUUCAAGAAUAAUACUUAAGUAGUAGUAUAGUGGAGAAGUCUUCUUGAGCCUCUCUUUACUCAAAAAAAUCAAUGUGAUAGCCUUAGGACCUCUAUGUGCAUUGGAAGAUCCGACUGAUACAUAGGCAUCUUACUUUGAUUUCAUUAUUUAAAGUUAGGCAUAUAGUAUUAUAAUAUAAGUCUUUUCUAGCUGUGAAGCAAGGUAUUUAGAUCUAGAACUUCCUUAAUAAUUUUUUUGAUAACCAUGUUCAGAACUUACUCCUCAAAUAAGGAGGUGAAGUUCUUAUCUUUAAUUUUCAAUAAGUAAACUUAUGUGAUAUUUAGUUUGGUUGAUAGGGCAUGCUUUAAUCCUUUUUACAGAUGAUAAUUCAUGAUUCUCUAUAUUUUUGUCUGCUCUUGAUGAAGCAGUAUCUUGAAUCUUUUGGUACUUUCAAUGGAGUAAGAGGUACAGUUGAAGCUCUAAAAUGCUUUAUUCGGCUCUAAAAUGCUUUGCACCACCCAGCUGAUUGACUUAUUUAACUUUAUUUCAGGGAGACAUUGGCAAGCAUUCUCUAGAUUGUGUAUUACAUGGUUCAACUUUUACAUCAGUUUUAGAAACUAUUCCUUUUUGUUGUAUAAAAAAUACAAACAAUAAUUGCAGGCAUAGGCCCGUGCACAACAUGGGCACCAACUACCUUGUUUUUGCAAGAGCAUCCCAAAUUUAUGUGUGCCAAAGAAAACAAGGAAAUUAAUCUUAAUUUCAUUUGGUUUCAGGCUAUUGAGUGUUAAGUCUCUCCUAGAGGCGCAAGAUAUUGACACUUCCUAUUUUGCUAAGUAAUGCGUGAAGGCUACCAAGGAGGCAGCCUUUUAUUAGUACUUAUCCUUUUAUAUUAGUUUUGAAGCAUAUCAACUUGGGUAAGUUCUAUCUCUAUUUUUUUCUUUACAGUUUCAAAUUGGUUGGUCGCAUACUUCUACGCACGAAAGUUAUUUCUCCUCUUUUCCUUCAAAUUUACAUGAGUUUUUGUGGAUAUUAAAUGUGUCGUUCCUGUAGAUCAAUCAAUAAAGCAUGAUUCUGGAGCUACAGUAAUUGUUAAUGACUUCAAAAUUUUGUAAUAUACAUCACUUUCACUCCAAGAAAAUUAUUUUAGGAAGGGUGUAGCAAUAUUUCUGUUCCAUUGGUCUUACAGACACAAUUUGGGACACGAGAUGUUUAGUUUGAGUUUUCCAACAUGGUGGGUGUAGGCACUUAGUAAACAAUGUCCCAGACCCCACUAUUGACUAUCUUAUUUGACCCCAUAGCUAAGCAAUUUUUUAUGCUCAACCACUUUUCGGUGGCUUUCAGAUUUGAACAAGGAGAAAUAUUAGCUUAAUAUUCAUGAUUUUGCUCAUGUAUUUUGAUUGUUCCCCUUCUUCUGUCUUUCCACUUUACUUUAUAUUGUCUGUGUUGUGACAAUUACUUCACUGCAUUUUCUUUAUCGUUUCUAGUCUUACUCUUAUCUUUUAUGGGCCAAUAGAAUUUCAGUUAGCUUAGUUUUUGGUUUUUCUUGGCUUCUCCUAUUCAUGCUACUAAUGUUACAUACUGAUGUUCAGAAAAAGACUAAAUGGGGAGACUUGGUCAAAUCUCUGAAUUUUCUACCUUUCGUGGCCAUAGUUUCAGUGCUAUUAGACAAAUGUGGUUUAGCAUUUUAAUUGAUUUUAACGUGUGUAGUGAUGCAGUAAGGGAGUGAGGAGUAAUGAAGCGGAGGAAUUAAUGAUACUUUAUUUACUUAUUUAGUAUCUCGCUCCAAAAAAGUUAGGAAGAAGAGGGAAGUAUACCGUAUUCAGGUGUUCCUUUCCAUUGUUGUUCUUCAGGGUCAGAAGACUUGAAGCUACAAGUCAGGCAACAACUUUUCAAGAAUUGAUAUAAAUGAUAAAUUGGUUAUCUUUUUGUUGGUUGCUUAGGACAAUUACUUUUCUUGUUAAGUGGUUUUGUAAACAGUUCAUGGUUGUACAGUUACUAGUGGGAUGUUACGAUUUCUAUAUACUUAUUCAUGCAAGC